UGUACUGCAAAGGAAAGUAAACAAAAUUUAUUUAUUUACCUUUUGCAUAAUGGUUUAAUAAACUAUCUAAAAAUUUUAUUUACCCGAAGUUAGAAGAUCUAAUUUUUAUCAUCUUUAUAGGGUUAUAAAUAUAAUGUUUCAUAAUUAUAUAAAAAUAUAAAAUUAGGAGUGAAAGGCUUAUCAAUUCUAAAGGUAUCUGGAAUAAUUUUAAAUGUAUUUAGUACAGAAUAAAUUUUAAAUAAAGAAAUGUUAAGAUUUCAUUAAUUAUAGAAUAUUAAAUAUAGUUUAAGUAUGAAUUAAUCUUCCAAUAUGUAAACUUAAUAAUAAUAAUUUAUUUAAUAUAUCUUUAUAUUAAAAUUAUCUUUUCUAUAAUUAAUUAGAAAAUUAAUAAUGUUAAAAUUAGUAAUUUUUAAUAUUUUAAAUUAAGGAACUCGGCAAAUUAUUAUUCAACUGUUUAUUUAACGGCCGCAGUACCUUGACUGUGCUAAGGUAGCAUAAUAAAUUGACUCUUAAUUGGGGCCUUGAAUGAAUGGAUUUAUGGAUAAUUUCUGUCUUAAUAGAAUUAAAAUUAAAUUACUUAAAAGGUGAAAAUUCCUUUAAUUUAUAUAAUAGACGAGAAGACCCUAGGAGUUUUAUUUUUGUUGGGGCGACAGUAUAACAUUAUAACUUAUAUGAUUAUAGUUAUUAUUAAACGAAUUAUUUUAAUAAUAAAGAAACUACCCUAGGGAUAACAGCAUAAUUUUUUAAAAAGUUUGUGACCUCGAUGUUGGACUAGGAACUUUUAAUAUUAACAAUAUUAACUGAUAGUUCUGUUCGA
rnacentral:rRNA from 1 species